GUCAUUCUACCCCUCUCCGUGGCACCACAAAUCGGCGCUCAGCCAACGCCCACCGCCACACCGCCCCUCACAACCACCGCCAUCGCCUUCGUCUUCUUCUUCUCCCCAAACAAAGUUCGAGCGCCCACAACACAGCCACAACCGCACAACCACUGCAGGCCCCGCGGCACAGCCUCCACCGCACUGGAUCACAAAUGAACCGCCGCACUGCGUUCCCGCCGCACCGCGUUCCCACCUCCCCGCAUGCACGACCUACCUUCAAAGAGCUCAUGUACCAGCAAGUUCUCCUGCGGUUUGCACAUUUUAAUGCCAUCCAAUUAAUUGAGCCAACCUUGUGCUUGUUUAUAGACAGACUUGUAGAUUUUGGUGCUCUCAAGAGGGCAAUUGAAAUAGUUCGUGGUGCAACAUUGCCUAAAGCAUCAAAACCAUUUGUGUAUAUGUCAAUCACUUUACCUGCUGAGCAUGUUGAUGUGAAUGUACACCCCACAAAGAGAGAUGUAUUGAUGAUUGUGCUGUUAGUUUCAUUAAUUGAUGCUCGUGGGAAGGUUAGCCUUUUGAACCAAGAGCUGAGGUUAUUAUUGAGAAGAUACAAUCUGUGGUAGAAUUAAAGCUGAGAAGUUCCAAUGAGUCAAGGACAUUCCAAGAGCAGACAAUGGAUCCUUCUUCAUCUAGUCCUUUGCCUACAAACCAAGGUCCACAAAAUUAAAAGAUCCCUCCAAUCUGGGAUAAAAUCACAAAAAACUCGAGUUCAUAAAAUGAUAAGGACAGAUUCACUUUGGUAGAUUGACUGGGAGGAUGAAAAGAAUUGUUUUCAAUCAAUUUCUGCUGCUCUUGCCAACUUCUAUGCCAUGCAUACUCCUUUGCUACCCAAUCCCUCAGGUUGAGCUCCGACGCUGUGGUGUUGACUGUUAAUUGGCUUUUGGGUUGUUACCUAUGGAUAGAAGUAUGAAAGAUGCAGCCGGUGCUGGUUCUUUGCCUGACAAGACAACCACUGAUGCUAGACAAUUAAUAUCAACCAUGGAAGAAAACUCUCAACAAUACAGGACACGAGCGGAUGGGUAUAUCCAUAGAGUUAAUGAGGUAAGUACUUCUCAACUUUGAGAAUAAAAUUUCUAAUUUGACUACUUUUGUGCGCCAAAUGGUUGUAGGAAAAAUGCAGUCCACAGGAACAUGUGAAGUAUGUUCAUUUGUCAGGCAUUCCAUAGACAUGUGCCCAACAUUGCAAAAUCCAAAUCAAGAGUUGAAUGCAAUAGGGGGAUUUUCCUGGUCAACCCAACCAAAAAAUAUGAUCCUUUUCAAACUAGUAUAAUCCGGAUGGUGAGAUCAUCCAAACUUGAGCUAUGGGAACCAAGGGGCACACUAAGGUUUUAGAGAGAAUUUUAGACAAUUCCUAGUACCUCAAUAAUUUCAACCCCAAGCUUCAAAUUUUGGUAUGUCUUUAGAUAAAAUUGUUAAAGCACUUGCUUAUAACACUCGAUAGUUUCAAUAAGAAACAAGGGCAUGUAUUAA